UUGGCUCUGAAUCAAAGCCAGCAGUUUGCUGAAGCUGUGGCUUUCAAGCAGGUGCUUAAAUAAAUGACUUUCUGUGGUCUGUUGGCCACUUCAGAAACUUAAAAAUGGUAUUGGUCAGUUCAUUAGAGAUAAACAUCU